rnacentral:rRNA from 1 species
AUACCCUGGUAGUCCACGCCGUAAACGAUGUCGAUUUGGAGGUUGUGCCCUUGAGGCGUGGCUUCCGGAGCUAACGCGUUAAAUCGACCGCCUGGGGAGUACGGCCGCAAGGUUAAAACUCAAAUGAAUUGACGGGGGCCCGCACAAGCGGUGGAGCAUGUGGUUUAAUUCGAUGCAACGCGAAGAACCUUACCUGGUCUUGACAUCCACAGAACUUUCCAGAGAUGGAUUGGUGCCUUCGGGAACUGUGAGACAGGUGCUGCAUGGCUGUCGUCAGCUCGUGUUGUGAAAUGUUGGGUUAAGUCCCGCAACGAGCGCAACCCU